ACAGGGCUGAGGUUGCUCCACAUUGGGCCAGGGAGGUUUGUGCACAGAAUGUGGUUGGCUUUGUAGGGCUGUGCCAAGCUGCUGGCACAAAGAUAAAGGGCCGAGUCCCCCAGCUCCAAGGCGCUCACAUUCAUCUCAGAGCUAUAGUUAGAGAACUGGCGCCCUGAGAAUCGAGCAGGGAAGUUUCCUUUAUCAUUCUGUAUCUCAUUGUAGUAUUGGAAGAGGAACUGAGGGUCCUGUCCUGGGGCCUGUUGGUACCAGUACACUCUGUUAUGCCCAGAGAUAGGGGAGCACCUCAGUGUCACUUGCUGUCCUCUCAUUUUGAUCAGGUGUCUUGGAGUUUGGGUGACUCCAGCCUCUCCCAGGCCUGUGGGAAAAGCAGAUGGAAAAUGAGCACAGGAGACAGCCUGGUGCUACCUCCUCCCCAAGGUAAAGUGGAGGACACCGAGCGGGGACAAGCUCAGAAUGGGGGUGCUGUCCUGUCUGCAGGGACUCACCUGCUCCCAGGAGACAGAGCAGCGUCCAACAGAGCAGCCCGGAGCCCAUGGCACGAAGGGUCAGGCAACACUGUCUGUGCUCAGGGCUCGGUCCUCCUGGGGGAGAGCUGAGUUCUCAGCCUCACUUUUCCUGAUGGGAGGGGUAUCCUGUGACGUCACUGUCCUGUGUCCUCCCCUUUCAGGCUUCCUGAGAUCCAGUGCUCCCUGUUCUGCUCAGCGGAAUGCAGUGUGCUGUGAGGGAGGGAGAGAGAGGCUGGGGAAAGAACACAGGCGGGAGCCUGAGGGUCCCUUGGAUGAGGCGUGCUCCAGAGACAUCCCACCUGUGCCAAAGACUCACCCACUCCCAGGAGACAAAGCCCUUUCCAUCAGAGGCACCUGGAGCCUAUGGCCAGGGCCCCUCUCAGCAAGAGACCACUCCCAUUCAAGGAAUCUCCUUCUCCCCUGUGGGAUCACAUGAGACAGCACCUUUCAAAACGCC
rnacentral:lncRNA from 1 species